GCCGGGCGUGGUGGCUCACGCCUGUAAUCCCAGCACUUUGGGAGGCCAAGGUGGGAGGAUGGCUUGAGCCCAGGAGUUCAAGACCAGCAUGGGCAACAUAGUGAGACCCUGUCUCAAAAUAAAUAAAUAAAUAAAUAAAUAAAUAAUUUUUUUUAAAAAAAAGAAAAGUAGUUUUUUUCUUGUUGUUAAGAGAUAGGGUCUCGCUAUGUUGCCCAGGCUGGCCUUGAACUCCUGGGCUCAAGUGAUCCUCCCACCUC
rnacentral:SRP_RNA from 1 species